rnacentral:tRNA from 1 species
CGGGAUGUAGUUCAGAUGGCUAGAACACACGGUUCGGAACCGUGAGGUCGUGGGUUCGAGUCCCGCCAUCCCGACAA